GACGAACGCUGGCGGCGUGCCUAAUACAUGCAAGUUGAGCGCUGAAGGUUGGUACUUGUACCAACUGGAUGAGCAGCGAACGGGUGAGUAACGCGUGGGGAAUCUGCCUUUGAGCGGGGGACAACAUUUGGAAACGAAUGCUAAUACCGCAUAAAAACUUUAAACACAAGUUUUAAGUUUGAAAGAUGCAAUUGCAUCACUCAAAGAUGAUCCCGCGUUGUAUUAGCUAGUUGGUGAGGUAAAGGCUCACCAAGGCGAUGAUACAUAGCCGACCUGAGAGGGUGAUAGGCCACAUUGGGACUGAGACACGGCCCAAACUCCUACGGGAGGCAGCAGUAGGGAAUCUUCGGCAAUGGACGAAAGUCUGACCGAGCAACGCCGCGUGAGUGAAGAAGGUUUUCGGAUCGUAAAACUCUGUUGGUAGAGAAGAAAGUUGGUGAGAGUGGAAAGCUCAUCAAGUGACGGUAACUACCCAGAAAGGGACGGCUAACUACGUG
rnacentral:rRNA from 1 species